rnacentral:lncRNA from 1 species
CGCGGGCCGCCGGGCCGGGGUCGCCGCCCGGGCUCGGUCAGUCGGUACCUUCAUGAAGGUCUCUACCGCGCCUUUGGCCGUGUCCAGCCUCGUCCCAAAUGCCGUGGGAGGGAAGGCACUCUCUGUCAAGCUGCUGUCACCUUACCUGAAGUAAGGAGUCCACGCCUGCAUGUCCGAGGAAAACAGUUUUCUCAAACACAUUAGUUGAAAAACUGAAGACGCUGCCUAAAAUACAAGCUGAGUUAGAGACAGCCCUUGUAAGACUAGAAAAAGAAAUGGAAACUAAGUAACAUGAAUUAACAUAGUCCAGGGUCACAAAGCAACAUGGAACAAGAACCUGGAUCUGAAUUCAGAGGCAGAAUGCUGGGCCUGAGAAUCAGGAGAGUCAAUGGUAUUAGUGCUUGUCCGGAAGCCAUCAUGCUUCAAAACCAAGAAGAGCUGAUUUUCCAGUUGGAGUCUAAAGGUUGGGUUUCCCAAGAAGUAGAUUCUGAGACAGAGAGUUGUGUGCAGGCGUCUAUUGAGAAAACACUUGUGAGGGCAUGAGGAAGUAGGACAGCGGCAGAGUUUGGCCUGAGGAAAGGCCUUGUGAGGACAUAACCAGGAAGAGAGUCCUCACCAGAACCUGACCAUACCUGCACCCUGAUCUCAAGCUUCCAGCUUCCAGAACCAUGAGAAAUCAAUGUUUGUUGUUUUAGCCACCCAGUCUACAGAAAUUUGUUAUAGCCACCCUAGCUGACUACCACAUUGGACAUCACAGC